rnacentral:lncRNA from 1 species
CAAAGCAAAACUCCAUCACGAGCCAAACAGUAAGGUCGACAAGUCUGAGCUCGCCGGAGCCGCCGCUGACCUCCUUAACGCCGCCUCACAGUACGGCAAACUAGAAGAGAAAGGGAUCGGAAAGUUCGUCGGAAAAGCAGAGACUUAUCUCCACAAAUAUGAAACUUCUCAUUCCACCACCACCUCCACGACUGAACACACGCAGUCCUCGGCGCAUACAGGGGGAAAACAUGAACAAUC